rnacentral:rRNA from 1 species
UACGGGGGGGGGGCAAGCGUUGUUCGGAAUUACUGGGCGUAAAGGGCGCGUAGGCGGCCUUCUAAGUCAGACGUGAAAUCCCUCGGCUCAACCGAGGAACUGCGUCUGAUACUGGAAGGCUUGAAUCCGGGAGAGGGAUGUGGAAUUCCAGGUGUAGCGGUGAAAUGGCGUAGAUAUCUGGAGGAACACCGGUGGCGAAGGCGGCAUCCUGGACCGGUACUGACGCUGAGGUGCGAAAGCGUGGGGAGCAAACAGGG